rnacentral:tRNA from 1 species
UGGGGGAUCGUCUAAUGGCAGGACAGCGGGUUUUGGUCCCGUUAAUUGGGGUUCGAGUCCCUAUCCCCCAGCCG